rnacentral:rRNA from 1 species
GGACUACUCGGGUUUCUAAUCCCGUUCGCUCCCCUAGCUUUCGCACCUGAGCGUCAGGUUCUUCCCAGGACGCUGCCUUCGCCUUCGGUGUUCUUCCAGAUCUCUACGCAUUUCACCGCUCCACCUGGAAUUCCGCGUCCCUCUGAAGCCCUCAAGUCUUCCCAUUUCCCCGGUCCUGCCCCAGUUAAGCCGGGACCUGUCACCCAAGAUGUAGAAGACCGCCUGCGUGCGCUUUACGCCCAAUAAAUCCGGACAACGCUUGCCCCCUACGUAUUACCGCGGCUGCUGGCAC